rnacentral:pre_miRNA from 1 species
CUUCUUCUUCUAUCGGGCCAGUUCUUUCACUGGUUUCAACUUUCUAUUCCAACUUUUUAGGUCUGCAGUUUAAUGAUUUAGGGUUGUACUCAGCCGACAGAAGGGUCGGGCCAGUUCUUUCACUGGUUUCUAUUCGUACUUCUUAGUUCUGCUUAAUGAUUUAGGGUUGUCCUCAGCUGACAGAAGAGAGUGGGCACACAUAACCCCUAACAUAACACGGCUUAUGUGCGAGGCGAUGCGUGCUCACGUCUCUUUCUGUCAGCAUGCCUAACCUUCUACUUUUUUUUUUAAAUUCUUUUUUGUGUGUGUGUGUCUUGGUGCUAUUCGUAUUCAUUUUCAUUCCAUUUCUCUCACAGGCCAGCCAUUACUGCCGCACAGAUCUAUUAUUCUCAUUAUGUUUCUAUUCGAUGGAGUGCAGUAAAUUAAGUUAUUGUCCAAGUUAUCUGAGAUUGAGAUUUACCGCUAGAGGGAAAUGUUAUCCUCUAUUAGGUUAUCGAUUUGUGAUCUUAAAAGGAUUUCAUUUAUAGAUCCAUGGUCGUUUAAGAAUGCGU